AAGUCGUAACAAGGCUUCCGUAGGUGAACCUGCGGAAGGAUCAUUAACACUAUUUCCCCCAAAAAAGCAAAACAUAUCCAAUUUUCCUUUGGAUAUUUUACCCCCCCAAAAUUAGUGAACUCUGUUAGGAAGUGCUUCAUAGUGCUCUGGAAAGAAAAAGGGGGUAUUUAUUUUUCUCUCUUUUCUCUGUGCUCCCUGACCGCUUCCGCUUUUUUGCCUUUUCCUUUUUGAUAAAAUCAAAAAAGCCCAAUUGAAUUUUCGACUGAACUUUUAUUUCUUUUUCAGAAAUGGAAAAGAUAUACAUCUAAGAAAUGUUGAAA
rnacentral:misc_RNA from 1 species